CCCUUAGAUGUUCUGGGCCGCACGCGUGCUACACUGAGUAAUUCAAUGGGUAAGGGAACGCUAGAGCAUUACCUAAUCUUGAAAUUUGCUCGUGAUGGGGAUCGACGGUUGCAAUUUUCCGUCGUGAACGAGGAAUACCUUGUAGGCGCAUGUCAUCAUCAUGCGCCGAAUACGUCCCUGCCCUUUGUACACACCGCCCGUCGCUCCUACCGAUUGAGCGAUCCGGUAAAUGUUUUGGAUUGGUGCCGGGGCGGCUAGCUGCCGGUCGCUACGAAAUUUUGUGAACCUUAUCGCUUAGAGGAAGGAAAAGUCGUAACA
rnacentral:rRNA from 1 species